UACGAAGGGGGCUAGCGUUGCUCGGAAUCACUGGGCGUAAAGCGCACGUAGGCGGAUUCCUAAGUCGGGGGUGAAAUCCUGGAGCUUAACUCCAGAACUGCCUUCGAUACUGGGAAUCUUGAGUCCGGAAGAGGUGAGUGGAACUGCGAGUGUAGAGGUGAAAUUCGUAGAUAUUCGCAAGAACACCAGUGGCGAAGGCGGCUCACUGGUCCGGUACUGGCGCUGAGGUGCGAAAGCGUGGGGAGCAAACAGG
rnacentral:rRNA from 1 species